AGAGUUUGAUCAUGGCUCAGGAUGAACGCUGGCGGCGUGCCUAACACAUGCAAGUCGAGCGGAGAUACUUGAUAAGCUUGCUUAAUGAGUAUCUUAGCGGCGGAUGGGUGAGGAACGCGUGGAGAACCUGCUCUUCACAGGGGGAUAACAGCUGGAAACGGCUGUUAAUACCGCAUAUGCUCACAGCGCCGCAUGGCGCAGGGAGGAAAGCGCACAGUGGUGAAGGAUGGCUCCGCGUCGGAUUAGCCAGUUGGCGGGGUAACGGCCCACCAAAGCGAUGAUCCGUAGCCGGCCUGAGAGGGCGACCGGCCACAUUGGGACUGAGACACGGCCUAAACUCCUACGGGAGGCAGCAGUGGGGGAUAUUGCACAAUGGGCGAAAGCCUGAUGCAGCGACGUCGCGUGAAGGAAGACGUACCUCGGUAUGUAAACUUCUAUCAGCAGGGAAGAAGAUGACGGUACCUGACUAAGAGGCCGCGGGCUAACUACGUGCCAGCAGCCGCGGUAAUACGUAGGGGGCAAGCGUUAUCUCGGAUUUACUGGGUGUAAAGGGAGCGUACACGGCGAUGCAAGUCUCGAUGUGAAAACUCGAGGCUCAACCGCGGGAUUGCAUUGUAACUGUAUUGGCUUGAGUGCUGGAGGGGCAAGCGGAAUUCCUGGUGUAGCGGUGAAAUGCGUANAUAUCAGGAGGANCANCGGUGGCGAAGGCGGCUUGCUGGACAGUAACUGACGUUGAGGCUCGAAAGCGUGGGGAGCAAACAGGAUUANNNNNCNNNNNNNNNCACGCCGUAAACGAUGAAUACUAGGUGUGGGAGGGCAUUGCNCNUCGGUGCCGCAGCAAACGCAAUAAGUAUUCCACCUGGGGAGUACGUUCGCAAGAAUGAAACUCAAAGGAAUUGACGGGGACCCGCACAAGCGGUGGAGCAUGUGGUUUAAUUCGAAGCAACGCGAAGAACCUUACCAAGUCUUGACAUCCUUCUGACCGUUCCUUAAUCGGAACUUCUCUUCGGAGCAGAAGUGACAGGUGGUGCAUGGUUGUCGUCAGCUCGUGUCGUGAGAUGUUGGGUUAAGUCCCGCAACGAGCGCAACCCUUAUUUUCAGUAGCCAGCAGUUCGGCUGGGCACUCUGGAGAGACUGCCGGGGAUAACCCGGAGGAAGGUGGGGAUGACGUCAAAUCAUCAUGCCCCUUAUGACUUGGGCUACACACGUGCUACAAUGGUGAUAACAAAGGGAAGCAGUCCUGUGAAGGUGAGCAAAUCCCAAAAAUGUCAUCUCAGUUCGGAUUGUAGUCUGCAACUCGACUACAUGAAGCUGGAAUCGCUAGUAAUCGCGAAUCAGAAUGUCGCGGUGAAUACGUUCCCGGGUCUUGUACACACCGCCCGUCACACCAUGGGAGUUGGAUAUGCCCGAAGUCAGUGACCCAACCGUAAGGAGGGAGCUGCCGAAGGUGGAGCCGAUAACUGGGGUGAAGUCGUAACAAGGUAGCCGUA
rnacentral:rRNA from 1 species